GCUAACACAUGCAAGUCGAACGGAGUAAGGGUUUCGAUUCUUACUUAGUGGCGAACGGGUGAGUAACGCGUGAACAACCUGCCUUCCUGAGGGGGAUAACACCUGGAAACAAGUGCUAAUACCGCAUAAGACCACAUAUCCGCAUGGAUGAGGGGUCAAAGGAGCAAUCCGCAGGGAGAGGGGUUCGCGUCCCAUUAGCUAGUUGGCGGGGCAACGGCCCACCAAGGCGACGAUGGGUAGCCGAGCUGAGAGGCUGAUCGGCCACACUGGAACUGAGACACGGUCCAGACUCCUACGGGAGGCAGCAGUGGGGAGUAUUGGGCAAUGGGCGCAAGCCUGACCCAGCAACGCCGCGUGAGGGAAGAAGGUCUUCGGAUUGUAAACCUCUGUCCUAUGUGACGAAGGAAGUGACGGUAGCAUAGGAGGAAGCCCCGGCUAACUACGUGCCAGCAGCCGCGGUAAUACGUAGGGGGCGAGCGUUGUCCGGAAUUACUGGGCGUAAAGGGUGCGUAGGUGGCACUUUAAGUUGGAUGUGAAAUCCCCGUGCUUAACAUGGGAGCUGCAUCCAAUACUGGAGAGCUAGAGUGCAGGAGAGGUAAGCGGAAUUCCUAGUGUAGCGGUGAAAUGCGUAGAUAUUAGGAGGAACACCAGUGGCGAAGGCGGCUUACUGGACUGUAACUGACACUGAGGCACGAAAGCGUGGGGAGCAAACAGGAUUAGAUACCCUGGUAGUCCACGCUGUAAACGAUGAAUACUAGGUGUAGGGGGUAUCAACUCCCUCUGUGCCGCAGCAAACGCAAUAAGUAUUCCGCCUGGGGAGUACGGCCGCAAGGUUGAAACUCAAAGGAAUUGACGGGGGCCCGCACAAGCAGCGGAGCAUGUGGUUUAUUCGAAGCAACGCGAAGAACCUUACCAAGGCUUGACAUCCACUUAAACUCAUGGAAACAUGAGGUGUCUUCGGACGAAGUGAGACAGUGGUGCAUGGUUGUCGUCAGCUCGUGUCGUGAGAUGUUGGGUAAGUCCCGCAACGAGCGCAACCCUUAUUACCAGUUACCAGCGGGUCAUGCCGGGACUCUGGUGGGACUGCCGGGGACACUCGAGAGGUGGACGACGUCAAUCAUCAUGCCCUAUGUCUUGGGCUACACCUGCCUAAUGGCUGCACAAGGAACCACAGCGCAGCGUGAGCGAUUUCAGAAAACAGUCGUCCGAAUGUGGCUCAACCGCCCAUGAAUCGGAUUGUUAUGAAUACCGCGAUACAGAGUGCCCGGCGAAUAGC
rnacentral:rRNA from 1 species